UACGUAGGUGGCAAGCGUUGUCCGGAUUUACUGGGCGUAAAGCGAACGCAGGCGGACCUUUAAGUAGGAAGUGAAAGGUUGGAGCUCAACUCUAACACUGCUCCCUAUACUGGAGGUCUUGAGUGCCGGAGAGGAAGACGGAACAAGUUGUGUAGCGGUGAAAUGCGUUGAUAUAACUUGGAAACACCAAUGGCGAAAGCAGUCUUCUGGACGGAUACUGACGCUCAGGUUCGAAAGCCAAGGUAGCAAACAGG
rnacentral:rRNA from 1 species